AAAACGACUCUCGGCAACGGAUAUCUCGGCUCUCGCAUCGAUGAAGAACGUAGCAAAAUGCGAUACUUGGUGUGAAUUGCAGAAUCCCGUGAACCAUCGAGUUUUUGAACGCAAGUUGCGCCCGAAACCAUUAGGUUGAGGGCACGUCUGCCUGGGCGUCUCGC
rnacentral:rRNA from 1 species